AACACCUUUCACCGUUCUGGUAUCCUCUCUGAUCUUUCGCGUCGUUCCGAAAUCUUUAGAUUUGAUUAAAAAUUAAUAUAAGAAAGAGUUAAAGACAUAUUAAAUAUACAUAUACAUUUAUUUUACCUCCUUUAGAUUUAUAGGGAUAUGAUUGGUUACAGGACUACACGUGCUGACUAUAAAUAUUUGAUAAUGGGUGUCUUAAAAAAAUAUGGGGUUAUUUACAAUAUAGAGUGUAUAGUUACCAUAUGGGGUUAGUUAAGAGUUACUUCCAUUUCAAAGCAAAAAAAGUAUGAUAGUUUUCACAGACGAAGGAAUUAUUGAUGAUGCAACAUUAAAAUUAGUUCAUAAAACACAUUUGAAGCUAACAAGUUGUCAUUGUUGGCAUUAAGGACUUAUUUCCAUUUCAAAACGAAAAAAAAAAGAAAUAUAAAAGGUUUUUAAAGAGUGUCGACAGAUGCCAGAAGGACAGUCAAACUCAAAGAUCGAAAACAAACUGACAACGUCAUGGCUAAAAGAGACAAAGCAAAACAGACAAACAAUCAUUUCAGCAUACAGGACAUAACAUAGAAAACGUAAAACAGAGCAACACGAACCCUACCAAAAAACUAUUGGAGAUCUCAGUUGAUCCGGAGGAGUAAGCAGAUCCGUCUCCGCAUAUGGCAUCAGUCGUGUUGCUCGUGUUAUU
rnacentral:lncRNA from 1 species